CCUACGGGUGGCUGCAGUGGGGAAUAUUGGACAAUGGGGGGAACCCUGAUCCAGCCAUGCCGCGUGUGUGAAGAAGGCCCUCGGGUUGUAAAGCACUUUCAGUGAGGAAGAACGCCUGGUGGUUAAUACCCAUCAGGAAAGACAUCACUCACAGAAGAAGCACCGGCUAACUCCGUGCCAGCAGCCGCGGUAAUACGGAGGGUGCGAGCGUUAAUCGGAAUUACUGGGCGUAAAGCGCGCGUAGGUGGCUUGAUAAGCCGGUUGUGAAAGCCCCGGGCUCAACCUGGGAACGGCAUCCGGAACUGUCCAGCUAGAGUGCAGGAGUGGAAGGUGGAAUUCCCGGUGUAGCGGUGAAAUGCGUAGAGAUCGGGAGGAAUACCAGUGGCGAAGGCGGCCUUCUGGACUGACACUGACACUGAGGUGCGAAAGCGUGGGUAGCAAACAGGAUUAGCUACCCUUGUAGUC
rnacentral:rRNA from 1 species